GGUAGGAUGGCCGAAACAGGUGGCGGAUUGUAGCCCCGUGCACAGAGGUUUAAAUCCUCUUCCUAUCA
rnacentral:tRNA from 1 species